rnacentral:tRNA from 1 species
GAUGCUGUAGCUCAGUGGUGGAGUGCAUGCUUAGCAUGUGUUAGGUCCUGGGUUCGAUUUCCAGUCACCAUUA